GCCGCCUCUAGCCGCCGCCCCUGCCCCGCGCCGGCCGCGAUCCCCCGACGGGCGCGCCGGCCCCUCUGAGCCGGCUCCCUUGGAAAGAUGCCACACGUGGCGGUCGCAAGUUUAUUCGACUGAAAACGCCCCCGAGGCGCUGGGAGAGGAAACUGCAAGAGAGGUGCACGCCCUCGGCCGCCUCGCCGUCGAGCCAAAGCCCCAGGACAUUCACCCGAUCACCCCGACGCGGGUGGCGAGGGUCCCGCCGAGCGCCAGGUCUAAGAGACACUUUUUCCCGAGUCCACUGACGGCUUCUGAACCCCUGCUCCGGCCGGUCCGCACCGUUCCGGCAUUCUCUUGCUCAGUAACAAUUUCGCAGAAUCCCAUCACGUCACAAACCAAACCCCCUCCAAUUGGCCAGUGGGGAGGGUGAUUCAACUCUGUUUACUUUCUCCCCCUGCCAGUCAGAACGGCCUUCGGUGGAGAGGUGCGUCUAGAACUGAGGCGUGCGGCCAAUCCGACUGUUCCGUUUCGCUGCCUCGUGCUACCCCUACAGCCUCGAACACUGACAUUUAAAAGGGUAACAGCUGGGAGGCAGGGAAGGGGCAGCCGCACACUUUCGGAGUGCCUCGCGGUCCCGUGGCCGGUCCGGGCCUCCUGGCUCACGUUCCAGCUUGCGGAGCUUUGGGACACAUCUUUCCUAGUCAGUUGCGCUCGUUCCUAUGGCAAAAGAGAACUUCAGCUUCGGUUUUCCAGCUCCCAAACAGUUAAGUGACUUCCUGCAAACGCUACAGUCCCAGCAACCAGCCUUCCAAUCAAAAGUAAGUUGGUUGAUGUCACUGGCAUUGGCUCGGCCAAUCACAAGGGCGUUCCGAAAGCAAGCGCUCGACACUUGUAAACGCGAAGAGCUGUAGUGAAACUGGACACAUCUUUGUAUUUUGUGUUGCUGGUAGUAAAUUUGAGUUAUGGAUGAGAGGACAGGGGUGAUGAAUAAAUGCAGUGUG
rnacentral:lncRNA from 1 species